UCGUAACAAGGUUUCCGUAGGUGAACCUGCGGAAGGAUCAUUAACAAUUUCUGGGAUGUCGUACAAGGUUUCCGUAGGUGAACCUGCGGAAGGAUCAUUAUCAAUAUUUGGGAUACCUGUAUGGUUUUCCCAUUUCAAACCACUUUGGUCACUAGUCCAUGUUACUUUCACAGGUCAAGGAGUAUAUGCUUACUUGGUGGUGAUACUUAUUGUUGGUAUCCAUUAACAAUGACUACUCUUGAUACUCUGCACUGUAAGUCGCCAGUAGAUGCAUCUGUAUCUUGCUGAAAGCCUCCAUCUUUGAAUAAGGUCUAGCUGACCCUACCAUUCUUCCCUGGACCGCUUCAGCUCCUGCCUACUGUUCGCAGCCUAUGAGUGUUAGGUUUGUUAUGUUGUUUGGGUGCUUUAUAUUUAUCAUCAUUUGUACUUAGCUGUUAUGAAUAUUUUUCAAGCUAGGCAAGAAACUGUGAAAGGGUUUAAUUUAAACAAAUAUAUUUUAGAAAUGAGGUCUGACAAGGCCAUGUGUCACAUAUUUAUAAUAUAAGUGAAAACUUUCAACAACGGAUCUCUUGGCUCUCGCAUCGAUGAAGAACGCAGCGAAAUGCGAUAAGUAAUGUGAAUUGCAGAAUUCAGUGAAUCAUCGAAUCUUUGAACGCACAUUGCGCCCUUUGGCAUUCCUCAGGGCAUGCCUGCUCGAGCGUCACAAGAAACCCCCACCACGGAUAGUGUGGUCUUGGUUGCAGUGAAUUGAUUGUAUGUGAAAACAUGCUCAUAACACUCAAUUGAAAUUCAUGGACAGGAUUGCCAGACAUGGACAAUAGACUUUGUAAUUGUCUACAUGACAUAUAUCAGUCACGUGUUGUGUUUUGGUCCUGAUAUUAUGGACUCCCAUUCCAUAUAAACAUUGGGUUGGCCUCGAGUCAGGUAGGGAUACCCGCUGAACUUAAGCAUAUCA
rnacentral:rRNA from 1 species